ensembl:snRNA U6 U6 spliceosomal RNA
GUGCUCGCUUCGGCAGCACAUAUACUAAAAUUGGAACGAUACAGAGAAGAUUAGCAUGGCCCCUGCGCAAGGAUGAGAAUAAGAAAGUUCUAAGGAUCAAAGAAGAGAUUU